UGCAGUCGAGCGAAUGGAUUAAGAGCUUGCUCUUAUGAAGUUAGCGGCGGACGGGUGAGUAACACGUGGGUAACCUGCCCAUAAGACUGGGAUAACUCCGGGAAACCGGGGCUAAUACCGGAUAACAUUUUGAACCGCAUGGUUCGAAAUUGAAAGGCGGCUUCGGCUGUCACUUAUGGAUGGACCCGCGUCGCAUUAGCUAGUUGGUGAGGUAACGGCUCACCAAGGCAACGAUGCGUAGCCGACCUGAGAGGGUGAUCGGCCACACUGGGACUGAGACACGGCCCAGACUCCUACGGGAGGCAGCAGUAGGGAAUCUUCCGCAAUGGACGAAAGUCUGACGGAGCAACGCCGCGUGAGUGAUGAAGGCUUUCGGGUCGUAAAACUCUGUUGUUAGGGAAGAACAAGUGCUAGUUGAAUAAGCUGGCACCUUGACGGUACCUAACCAGAAAGCCACGGCUAACUACGUGCCAGCAGCCGCGGUAAUACGUAGGUGGCAAGCGUUAUCCGGAAUUAUUGGGCGUAAAGCGCGCGCAGGUGGUUUCUUAAGUCUGAUGUGAAAGCCCACGGCUCAACCGUGGAGGGUCAUUGGAAACUGGGAGACUUGAGUGCAGAAGAGGAAAGUGGAAUUCCAUGUGUAGCGGUGAAAUGCGUAGAGAUAUGGAGGAACACCAGUGGCGAAGGCGACUUUCUGGUCUGUAACUGACACUGAGGCGCGAAAGCGUGGGGAGCAACAGGAUUAGAUACCCUGGUAGUCCACGCCGUAUACGAUGAGUGCUAAGUGUUAGAGGGUUUCCGCCCUUUAGUGCUGAAGUUAACGCAUUAAGCACUCCGCCUGGGGGAGUACGGCGCAAUGCUGAAACUCAAAGGGAAUUG
rnacentral:rRNA from 1 species